rnacentral:rRNA from 1 species
GACGAACGCUGGCGGCGUGCUUAACACAUGCAAGUCGAACGGAAAGGCCCUGCUUUUGUGGGGUGCUCGAGUGGCGAACGGGUGAGUAACACGUGAGUAACCUGCCCUUGACUUUGGGAUAACUUCAGGAAACUGGGGCUAAUACCGGAUAGGAGCUCCUGCUGCAUGGUGGGGGUUGGAAAGUUUCGGCGGUUGGGGAUGGACUCGCGGCUUAUCAGCGUGUUGGUGGGGUAGUGGCUUACCAAGGCUUUGACGGGUAGCCGGCCUGAGAGGGUGACCGGCCACAUUGGGACUGAGAUACGGCGCAGACUCCUACGGGAGGCAGCAGUGGGGAAUAUUGCACAAUGGGCGGAAGCCUGAUGCAGCAACGCCGCGUGCGGGAUGACGGCCUUCGGGUUGUAAACCGCUUUCGCCUGUGACGAAGCGUGAGUGACGGUAAUGGGUAAAGAAGCACCGGCUAACUACGUG